rnacentral:rRNA from 1 species
CCGCGGUAAUACGGAGGAUCCGAGCGUUAUCCGGAUUUAUUGGGUUUAAAGGGAGCGUAGGUGGAUUGAUAAGUCAGUUGUGAAAGUUUGCGGCUCAACCGUAAAAUUGCAAUUGAUACUGUCAGUCUUGAGUACAGUAGAGGUGGGCGGAAUUCGUGGUGUAGCGGUGAAAUGCUUAGAUAUCACGAAGAACUCCGAUUGCGAAGGCAGCUCACUAGCCUGCAACUGACACUGAGGCUCGAAAGUGUGGGUAUCAAACAGGAUUAGAUACCCUGGUAGUCCACACAGUAAACGAUGAAUACUCGCUGUUUGCGAUAUACAGUAAGCGGCCAAGCGAAAGCAUUAAGUAUUCCACCUGGGGAGUACGCCGGCAACGGUG